rnacentral:rRNA from 1 species
UAGGGAAUCUUCCGCAAUGGACGCAAGUCUGACGGAGCAACGCCGCGUGAGUGAAGAAGGAUUUCGGUUCGUAAAACUCUGUUGUUAGAGAAGAACAGCGCAUAGAGUAACUGUUAUGCGUGUGACGGUAUCUAACCAGAAAGCCACGGCUAACUACGUGCCAGCAGCCGCGGUAAUACGUAGGUGGCAAGCGUUGUCCGGAUUUAUUGGGCGUAAAGCGAGCGCAGGCGGUUAGAAAAGUCUGAAGUGAAAGGCAGUGGCUCAACCAUUGUAGGCUUUGGAAACUGUUUAACUUGAGUGCAGAAGGGGAGAGUGGAAUUCUAUGUGUAGCGGUGAAAGGCGUAGAUAUAUGGAGGAACACCGGUGGCGAAAGCGGCUCUCUGGUCUGUAACUGACGCUGAGGCUCGAAAGCGUGGGGAGCGAACAGG